CAUGGAGGGUGAGAAUCCCGUCCGGUUGAUCAGAUUCGCUUUACGAUACGCUUUCUAAGAGUCAAGUUGUUUGGGAUUGCAGCUUAAAAUGGGAGGUAAAUUUCUCCUAAGGCUAAAUAACGGCGAGAGACCGAUAGCGAACAAGUACCGUGAGGGAAAGAUGAAAAGAACUUUGAAAAGAGAGUUAAAUAGUACGUGAAAUUGUUGAAAGGGAAACGAUUGAAGCCAGUCGUACCUAUGGGUAAUCAGCCUUUUGGGUGUGAUUUUGUGGAGCGUGAGGAGUUAAACGCCUUCAUGCCUGCAUAUUCGUGCACUUUGGGUGUACUUGCCCGUAUGGUUGGUUAACAUCAAUUUUGGUGGUCAUAAAAUGACUGGAGGAAUGUAGCUUCGAUCUUGUAUUGAAGUGUUAUAGCCUUCGGUAGAUGUGAUGAUCGAGAUUGAGGAUUGCAACGGAUACCCUUCGGGGCUACCUGUCUGGUCUCUGAUCGUUGCUCUGGUGCCGAAAGCUUGCUUACGGUUAUCAAAGUCGAUGGUCAAUAGGUUAGAACGGGUUAAAUUCGUUAAGGAUGUUGACGUAAUGG
rnacentral:rRNA from 1 species